rnacentral:pre_miRNA from 13 species
GUUGUGGACGUUGAGCUCCUUUCGGUCCAAAAAGGGGUGUUGCUGUGGGUCGAUUGAGCUGCUGGGUCAUGGAUCCCGUUAGCCUACUCCAUGUUCAUCAUUCAGCUCGAGAUCUGAAAGAAACUACUCCAAUUUAUACUAAUAGUAUGUGUGUAGAUAGGAAAAUGAUGGAGUACUCGUUGUUGGGAUAGGCUUAUGGCUUGCAUGCCCCAGGAGCUGCAUCAACCCUACAUGGACCCUCUUUGGAUUGAAGGGAGCUCUGCAUCUUUUGUCA